rnacentral:tRNA from 1 species
GGCGAGAUGGCCGAGCGGUCUAAGGCGGUUAGUACUACUGCUCGAAAGGGGCGUGGGUUCAAAUCCCACUCUCGUCA